rnacentral:rRNA from 1 species
UUGACCUCGAAUCAGGUAGGGAUACCCGCUGAACUUAAGCAUAUCAUAACCCGGAAGGAAAAAAAACCAACCGGGAUUACCUCAG